rnacentral:tRNA from 2 species
GGAAAGAUGCCGGAGUGGUCGAUCGGGGCGGUCUCGAAAACCGUUGUGCCCUCGCGGGCACCCAGGGUUCGAAUCCCUGUCUUUCCG